GACGAACGCUGGCGGCGUGCCUAACACAUGCAAGUCGAACGGAGCCAUUGAUAAGCUUGCUUAAAGAUGGUUUAGUGGCGGACGGGUGAGUAACGCGUGAGGAACCUGCCUUUCAGAGGGGGAUAACGUCUGGAAACGGACGCUAAUACCGCAUGACAUAUCGAGAUCACAUGGUUUUGAUAUCAAAGGAGCAAUCCGCUGAAAGAUGGACUCGCGUCCGAUUAGCCAGUUGGCGGGGUAACGGCCCACCAAAGCGACGAUCGGUAGCCGGACUGAGAGGUUGAACGGCCACAUUGGGACUGAGACACGGCCCAGACUCCUACGGGAGGCAGCAGUGGGGGAUAUUGCACAAUGGAGGAAACUCUGAUGCAGCAACGCCGCGUGAGGGAAGAAGGUUUUCGGAUUGUAAACCUCUGUCCUCGGUGACGAAACAAAUGACGGUAGCCGAGGAGGAAGCUCCGGCUAACUACGUGC
rnacentral:rRNA from 1 species